UCGGAAAGGCACAUUCUCUGAGACUAUUUCAAAAGAAAAAUCUGGUGGAUGGAGGACAUGAAGCAGAAAGGCUUGACCACUGAGAGUACCCAACAGAUGGUGGCAGCAGCGAUACAUACUGAGAUGAAUCAAACAGACUUGGCCUUCGGUGAGAUGCAACCACUUCUCUCAUCUCAGCCGAUAGAUUUAUCGUCCAAUUACAAGCAACAACAACAUGUGGAAGAUGAGGUGACUA